CUUUCUGGUCUAUUGAUUAGUCGAACAUGUUGAGAAAAUCAUUUUCAAAUAUGCAAUGCUACACAGAUCCUCAGUCUGAAGCUGGAGAUGUGGAACCACCUCCCAAUUACACAGGCAAAUUACUUGAAAUAUUACUCCAACUAUUGGGACUAGCACCAACAGAUCAACAUUUAAGCGCACUUAAUAAUGGAAAAUGUUUCUGAUUUGGAUCAUUUGAAACUUUUCCGAUUCGAAUUUUUUAAUCGUUCUUUUAAAUUGAGUUUCUUCAUGGCGAAGUUUUUCAUGCAAAUUUUCCAAAUUUAUCUACAUAUCGAUAUAUUAUUAGUCUACAUAUCGAAAGUGUAAGUGAACUAAAUGUUGACAAUAAAUACAUAGUAAUUAUACACUUACAAAUGAAA